AAAAACAGGAGGGGCAUGGAAGGGUGAGGGGGGCAGGGUGGGGAUUGGAAAGUCGAAUGAAGACCUUCAACUUAGAGCUCAGGUUCCCUAGAAUGACAAGAAGGAUUUUGAUGUCAUUUGUUGGGGGAAGGGAACUUACUUGUCCAAGGUUCUCAAGGUGCCUGAGCCUCGGCAGGACAAGAGGAUGGCUGUGGGAAGAAGAGAAAGCUGGAGAGUGACAGUGUGGUCUGGAGCAAAGACCUGAAUUCACAUCUGAACUCGGCUACCUCCUGUGACAGAAAACCAUAUCCCAGACUCAGAGGCUCUGCACCCAAAAGGUGAUUCUCGUGAGACCCCGAGGAUGGAAGGCUCUCGAGGCAUCCAGAUCCUCAGCCCUCACCAACAUCUGCUAGACACUCAAAGGAAACAGUGGGUGACAAAAACAACGACUUUGACAUUUGAGUCAGUCUUUGGUGCUUCUGAUUUUCCCACAAACCCACCAUGACAUGUGUUUUUGCGAUGAAACAUUUCAAACAUCAAUAAGGGGCUCAUAAAAGAGCCCACAAGACUCAGGCAUUUCCACUCUUAAAAGAUGCUGUUUACGGGUGUGGCCUACACCCUGUCGCAUCUCCUCACCACCCUGGAGGCAGGGAGCUCCCCGUCCUGUGCAUCUGGGGGUGCUGCUCUCGGGGCAGUCUGAAGCACUCUUGUUUCCCAAUCAUUUUCACAUUGUACCCUUUUUGGGUUAGAAUUUUGGCUCAAACACCAACAGACUUUGUGACCCUGGGCGAGUCGUUUCGCUUCCUUGAGUGUCAGCUGCCUCACUUAUGUUCAUCUCAUCGAUAGGUAUUUAUGGUGACUCUAAUAGCAGGAACCAUUCUAGAUUUGGAAUUCAGAGUCAGCUAUUUCUCUAAUGGGCAGAAAUCCAGAAGACGUUCAUACAAUGUAGUAACCAGUUUAUGACCUCAGCACUCUUUGCAGUGGUUCUAAUGUAUUAUUAUGCUCACAUAUGAGGGCUCAAAAAAAGAUGACCAAUCUGCUUAUGCUACAAAGCUGUAGUAAUCAAAACGCCAUGGUACUAGUACA